rnacentral:rRNA from 1 species
AUUGAACGCUGGCGGCAGGCUUAACACAUGCAAGUCGAGCGGAGAGAGGUAGCUUGCUACUGAUCUUAGCGGCGGACGGGUGAGUAAUGCUUAGGAAUCUGCCUAUUAGUGGGGGACAACAUUUCGAAAGGAAUGCUAAUACCGCAUACGUCCUACGGGAGAAAGCAGGGGAUCUUCGGACCUUGCGCUAAUAGAUGAGCCUAAGUCGGAUUAGCUAGUUGGUGGGGUAAAGGCCUACCAAGGAGACGAUCUGUAGCGGGUCUGAGAGGAUGAUCCGCCACCCUGGGACUGGAACACGGCGCAGACUCCUACGGGAGGCAGCAGUGGGGAAUAUUGGACAAUGGGCGCAAGCCUGAGCCAGCCAUGCCGCGUGUGUGAAGAAGGCCUUAUGGUCGUAAAGCACUUUAAGCGAGGAGGAGGCUACUUUAGUUAAUACCUAGAGAUAGUGGACGUUACUCGCAGAAUAAGCACCGGCUAACUCUGUGCCAGCCGCCGCCGUAAGAC